rnacentral:misc_RNA from 1 species
GAUGAAGAACGCAGCGAAAUGUGAUAAGUAAUGUGAAUUGCAGAAUUCAGUGAAUCAUCGAAUCUUUGAACGCACAUUGCGCCCCCUGGUAUUCCGGGGGGCAUGCCUGUUCGAGCGUCAUUUCACCACUCAAGCCUCGCUUGGUAUUGGGCAACGCGGUCCGCCGCGUGCCUCAAAUCGACCGGCUGGGUCUUCUGUCCCCUAAGCGUUGUGGAAACUUUCGCUAAAGGGUGUUCGGGAGGCUACGCCGUAAAACAACCCCAUUUCUAAGGUUGACCUCGGAUCAGGAAGGGAUACCCGCUGAACUUAAGCAUAUCAAUAAGCGGAGGA